UACAGAGGUGGCAAGCGUUGUUCGGAAUUACUGGGCGUAAAGGGCGCGUAGGCGGCCAUCUAAGUCAGACGUGAAAUCCCCCGGCUUAACCUGGGAACUGCGUCUGAUACUGGACGGCUUGAGUAUGGGAGAGGGAUGUAGAAUUCCAGGUGUAGCGGUGAAAUGCGUAGAUAUCGGGAGGAACACCAGUGGCGAAGGCGGUUGCCUGGAGCUUUGCUGACGCUGAGGCGCGAAAGCGUGGGGAGCGAGCCGG
rnacentral:rRNA from 1 species